AUUGAACGCUGGCGGCAGGCCUAACACAUGCAAGUCGAACGGUAACAGGAAGAAGCUUGCUUCUUUGCUGACGAGUGGCGGACGGGUGAGAAAUGUCUGGGAAACUGCCUGAUGGAGGGGGAUAACUACUGGAAACGGUAGCUAAUACCGCAUAACGUCGCAAGACCAAAGAGGGGGACCUUCGGGCCUCUUGCCAUCGGAUGUGCCCAGAUGGGAUUAGCUAGUAGGUGGGGUAACGGCUCACCUAGGCGACGAUCCCUAGCUGGUCUGAGAGGAUGACCAGCCACACUGGAACUGAGACACGGUCCAGACUCCUACGGGAGGCAGCAGUGGGGAAUAUUGCACAAUGGGCGCAAGCCUGAUGCAGCCAUGCCGCGUGUAUGAAGAAGGCCUUCGGGUUGUAAAGUACUUUCAGCGGGGAGGAAGGGAGUAAAGUUAAUACCUUUGCUCAUUGACGUUACCCGCAGAAGAAGCACCGGCUAACUCCGUG
rnacentral:rRNA from 1 species